rnacentral:rRNA from 1 species
GUCUAAGUAUAAGCAAUUAUACCGUGAAACUGCGAAUGGCUCAUUAAAUCAGUUAUCGUUUAUUUGAUAGUACCUUACUACUUGGAUAACCGUGGUAAUUCUAGAGCUAAUACAUGCUAAAAACCCCAACUUCGGGAGGGGUGUAUUUAUUAGAUAAAAAACCAAUGCCCUUCGGGGCUCCUUGGUGAUUCAUGAUAACUUCUCAGAUCGCAUAGCCUUGAGCUGGCGACGGUUCAUUCAAAUUUCUGCCCUAUCAACUUUCGAUGGUAAGGUAGUGGCUUACCAUGGUUGCAACGGGUAACGGGGAAUUAGGGUUCGAUUCCGGAGAGGGAGCCUGAGAAACGGCUACCACAUCCAAGGAAGGCAGCAGGCGCGCAAAUUACCCAAUUCCGAUACGGAGAGGUAGUGACAAUAAAUACUGAUACAGGGCUCUUUUGGGUCUUGUAAUUGGAAUGAGUACAAUUUAAACCUCUUAACGAGGAACAAUUGGAGGGCAAGUCUGGUGCCAGCAGCCGCGGUAAUUCCAGCUCCAAUAGCGUAUAUUAAAGUUGUUGCAGUUAAAAAGCUCGUAGUUGAACCUUUGGCCUGGCUGGCAGGUCCGCCUCACCGCGUGCACUUGUCCGGCCGGGCCUUUUCUUCUGGAGAACCGCAUGCCCUUCACUGGGUGUGUUGGGGACCAGGACUUUUACUUUGAAAAAAUUAGAGUGUUCAAAGCAGGCCUUUGCUCGAAUACGUUAGCAUGGAAUAAUAGAAUAGGACGUGCGGUCCUAUUUUGUUGGUUUCUAGGACCGCCGUAAUGAUUAAUAGGGACAGUCGGGGGCAUCAGUAUUCAAUUGUCAGAGGUGAAAUUCUUGGAUUUAUUGAAGACUAACUACUGCGAAAGCAUUUGCCAAGGAUGUUUUCAUUAAUCAGUGAACGAAAGUUAGGGGAUCGAAGACGAUCAGAUACCGUCGUAGUCUUAACCAUAAACUAUGCCGACUAGGGAUCGGGCGGUGUUUCUAAUGUGACCCGCUCGGCACCUUACGAGAAAUCAAAGUGUUUGGGUUCUGGGGGG